CUAGAAUAAUUUUUUUAAAUGAUUUUUGUUAAACCUUGAAUAUUUUGAAUUGUGCUGGGAUAGAUAUAUUUUAUAAUUUAGUAUCUUUUGCGUUAUUAAGCAACUUCUUAGUAUUUUGAUGUUUUUGUCACAAAUUCUAUCAACUAGCAAUUUGGAUGACCAAGAAACUACAUCAGAAUGAUAGAUAAUGGUAAGUUAAAAGAAUCUUGUUAAUUAUCAUGCCAAAAUAUAGAAUACAAUCAUUCAAUGUGAUUAUUAAAUAAUUGUAACCUUACUAAUGUGGACACUUAAGUAUAUAUAGGUUAGAACACUAACAACCUUUUGCCGACUAAAGGCUUGCGACUCGCCAGCAGAAGUGAGAUUGCUUCCUUGGUUCUCUCUCGUGUUCCGAGCUGACAUGAACUACGCUGGAUGCUGUGAAAAGUUCGCUAAAGAUGGCAUCAAAAUAUUAAAUCUAAUCGAAUGAGUUGCAAGUUAUAAGGAGAGAAAACAUUAUUACUUAGAAACAUCUAUCGAAACAUAUGCAGCAUUCCCAUCUCUUUCUCAACAUAAGAAUCGGCUGAAUCGAAAAACGGGCCAUUCUGACAUCAAUUUCUGUAAAGGGCCGAAUAAAUCAGACGCCACAGA